rnacentral:rRNA from 1 species
CUACGGGCGGCAGCAGUAAAGAAUCUUCCGCAAUGGGGGAAACCCUGACGGAGCAACACUGCGUGGAGGAUGAAGGCUUUCGGGUUGUAAACUCCUUUUCUGGGGGACGAAGUUCUGACGGUACCCCAGGAAUAAGCGACGGCAAACUACGUGCCAGCAGCCGCGGUAAUACGUAGGUCGCAAGCGUUAUCCGGAAUCAUUGGGCGUAAAGCAUUCGUAUGUUGUUUUGUAAAUCUGUGAUUAAAUCCCACCGCUCAACGGAGGACUUGUCAUGGAAACUGCAAAACUUUGAGAAGUGCAGGGGCAGAUGGAAUUUCGGAAGUAGGGGUAAAAUCCGUAGAUCUCCGAAGGAACACCAAACGCGAAAGCAUUCUGCUAGGCACUUUCUGACACUGAAGAAUGACAGCGUGGGGAGCAAACAGGAUUAGAUACCCCGGUAGUC